rnacentral:tRNA from 1 species
GGGUCGGCUCGCCUAGUUCGCGUGGGUAACGGUCUGUAAAACCGCCGCAUUUUGCGUUGCAGGUGCAACUCCUGCCCGACCUACCA